ACCUGGCAACUCAGCAGGGUCGGGCCUGGUUAGGGCUUGUAUGGGAGCCGGCUGGGGAAUAUGGAGUGCCCUAGGCUUUUCUGCCCCA
rnacentral:miRNA from 1 species